rnacentral:rRNA from 1 species
AUACGGAAGGUCCGGGCGUUAUCCGGAUUUAUUGGGUUUAAAGGGAGCGCAGGCGGAGAUGCAAGCGUGACGUCAAAUUUCGGGGCUCAACCCCGUCUCGCGUCGCGAACUGCGUCCCUUGGUUGCGGGAAGGGGAGGCGGAACUCGUAGUGUAGCGGUGAAAUGCAUAGAUAUCACGAAGAACUCCGAUCGCGAAGGCAGCCUUCCGGCCCGUCAACGACGCUCAUGCUCGAAGGUGCGGGUAUCAAACAGGAUUAGAUACCCUGGUAGUCCGCACAGUAAACGAUGGACACCCGCGGUUUGGCCUGUAUGGCUGAGCCGCCAAGCGAAAGCGUUAAGUGUCCCACCUGGGGAGUACGCCGGCAACGGUGAAACUCAAAGGAAUUGACGGGG